rnacentral:rRNA from 1 species
CCUACGGGCGGCUGCAGUAGGGAAUAUUGCACAAUGGGCGAAAGCCUGAUGCAGCAACGCCGCGUGAGUGAAGAAGGCCUUCGGGUCGUAAAACUCUUUUCAAGGGAAAGAGGAAGGACGGUACCCUUGGAAUAAGCAUCGGCUAACUACGUGCCAGCAGCCGCGGUAACACGUAGGAUGCGAGCGUUAUUCGGAUUUACUGGGCGUAAAGCGCGUGUAGGCGGUUAGGAGAGUUGGAUGUGAAAGCUCCCGGCUUAACUGGGAGAGGUCGUUCAAAACUUCCUGACUAGAGUUUGGUAGAGGAAAAUGGAAUUCCGGGUGUAGUGGUGAAAUGCGUAGAUAUCCGGAGGAACACCAGUGGCGAAAGCGAUUUUCUGGACCGAUACUGACGCUCAGACGCGAAAGCUAGGGUAGCAAACGGGCUUAGAUACCCGUGUAGUC